rnacentral:rRNA from 1 species
GACGAACGCUGGCGGCGUGCUUAACACAUGCAAGUCGAACGGAAAGGCCCUGCUUUUGUGGGGUGCUCGAUUGGCGAACGGGUGUGUAACACGUGAGUAACAUGCCCUUGUCUUUGGGAUAACUUCAGGAAAAUGGGGCUAAUACCGGAUAGGAGCUCUUGCUGCGUGGUGGGGGUUGGAAAGUUUCGGCGGUUGGGGAUGAACUGGCGGCUUAUCCGCUUGUUGGUGGGGUAGUGGCUUACCAAGGCUUUGACGGGUAGGCGGCCUGAGAGGGUGACCGGCCACAUUGGGACUGAGGUACGGCCCAGAUACCUACGGGAGCCAGCAGGGGGAAAGCUUGAACAAUGGGCGGAAGCCGGAUGAAGCAACGCCGCGUGCGGGAAGACUGCCUUAGGGUUGUAAACCGCUUUCGCAUGUGACGAAGCGUGAGUGACGGUAAUGGGUAAAGAAGCCCCGGCUAACUACGUG